GUACACGAGCGGCGAACGGGUGAGUAACACGUGGGUGAUCUGCCUUGCACUUCGGGAUAAGCCUGGGAAACUGGGUCUAAUACCGGAUAUGACCCCGGAAUGCAUGUUCUGGGGUGGAAAGAUUUAUCGGUGCGAGAUGGGCCCGCGGCCUAUCAGCUUGUUGGUGAGGUAACGGCUCACCAAGGCGACGACGGGUAGCCGACCUGAGAGGGUGACCGGCCACACUGGGACUGAGACACGGCCCAGACUCCUACGGGAGGCAGCAGUGGGGAAUAUUGCACAAUGGGCGCAAGCCUGAUGCAGCGACGCCGCGUGCGGGAUGACGGCCUUCGGGUUGUAAACCGCUUUUGACAGGGACGAAGCGCAAGUGACUGUACCUGUAGAAUAAGGACCGGCCAACUACGUGCCAGCAGCCGCGGUAAUACGUAGGGUCCGAGCGUUGUCCGGAAUUACUGGGCGUAAAGAGCUUGUAGGCGGUUCGUCGCGUCGUUUGUGAAAACUUGGGGCUCAACCUUAAGCUUGCAGGCGAUACGGGCGGACUAGAGUACUUCAGGGGAGACUGGAAUUCCUGGUGUAGCGGUG
rnacentral:rRNA from 1 species